UGUUCCUGGAGAGAAACUCAUAGAACAAAGUUUUAAUUUAUCAAGCUAUCAGGGAGCACAUAAGUGGAGGCCAUAAAUCAGGAAAGCACGUGAAUUUUUUACAGUACGUGUGGAGUAGCAAGUAGUCCAACAGAGGUGGGGCUGGCGCCCUUUAGUGUAACACGAUGGCCUCGCUAUGCUCUUACACAAUUACCCAUUAAUCUCUAAAGAACAGUUCUUUAUACGGAAGGACAAGAACCAAGGUAUUAAUCUUUAGUGUCUACAUACACACAACAGGAAACACCUACUUUCAUUUAUAACCCUUAGCUUCUGAACUUUAGGCGGAUGAGACUCGGUCCAAAGGCAGCCGCGCCUUGCCAGGCAGCCUGGUGGGUCUGGGUGUGUAAGUCUGGCUGAGACCAUCGGGGCAGGCCGCGGGGCUCGCGUCACAGCAGAGAGGGCAUCUGCAAUCCGACGGAGGUCAGCGCAGAGCAGAAAUGCAUCUGGACAACAGAAGCGCCGCGACUGCGGGGGUGCCGCGCAGAGAAGACUUGCCACGAACAUAAUCCCUUUCACGAGAUCCAGCCAAACUUCCCUGUGAACAUCUGUCUCCUGAAGCAUCCCACCGCUGCCCUAAAUUCUAACGGGUGGCUCUAAACCAGAUACUCACAUCGUCUGACCUCAGAAUUAUCUUCCAUGAAGGAUGUCUGGCUAAAAGCCCCAUUCUGGAAUGAGAGUCCUGCCGCCUCCUCCAGUGACGGUCCUUCAGGGAUCCAGAGUCUCCUGCCUCCUCCUUUCCUUCUGAUUAAACCACUUCUCCUCAAGCACCAGCAUUCAAGGUAAAUUUUUUUGAACUGUUGUUGGUCAUAAAGAGGAAUGAAGCGCUGACACGCCACAACUUGGACGGACCUUGAAGACGUUACACUGAGUGAGUGGAGCCAGUCGCAGAAGCCCAUGUGUCAUAGGAUUCCGUUUAUAUAAAUGCCCAGUACAGGGAAACUACAGACACAGAAAUAGAUGAGUGGUUGCUCAGGGCGGGGCCGGGGGCGUGGGAAGGUGACAGCUAAAGGGUGCAAGGUUCCUUCCUGAGGUGACAAAAAUGUUUUAACGUCGACUGUGGUGUUGGUUGCACACACACGAGUAUACGAAAAUCCACUGAACUGUACACUUUAAAUGAACAAAUGGUAAUACAUGUGAGUGUUAUGUCAAUAAAGCUGCUUAAAAUUAAAAAAAUUAUGAACUAUUUUAUACAAAAUCAUACAUAUGGUAUAAAGAAAGAUAACAUAAACGCCCUUUACCUAUCACCUUCUUAAUAAAUCACGCUUCAUCACCACCUUUAAAGCCGUCCGCACAGCCCUUCUGAAACACCACCCUUUGCCUCCUCACCCAGGAAAAUCACUCAUUUGAUGUUGAAAAAAUAGAUUGUUCCUUUGACUUUCAUUAUAGUUUUACUACAUAUGUAUGUAUCUGUAAACACUGUUUAACUUUAUAAGUUUUAAACUUUCUAGGGGCUGGCCCACAGUGCAGUGGUCAAGUUCCACGAGCUCUGCUUUGGUUGCCCAGGGUUUGCAGUUUGGACCCCGGAUGUGGACCCCACACCACUCAUCACCCAUGCUGUGGUGGUGGCCUACAUACGAAAUAGAGGAAGACUGGCACAGAUGUUAGCUCAGCGACAAUCUUCGUCAGCCAAAAAAAACCUUUCCACAAACGUGCUGUACUUCCGUAACUUGAGUUUUUCAUUCAACACAUUAUUUUUGACAGCCUUCCAUGUUCUAAAUAGUUUCUCCUUCAAUUCUAUGUAUUACUUAUUAAUUACCCUCUAAAUUGAAGACAGUGAAACCUGCCUCAGAGAGAAUUCUUGUGAGAUAAUAUAAAGUGCUUAUUGCAGUGCCUGACUCAUGAUGGGUGUUCGAUUUUUGAUAGAUACAUUAUUGUUAUAUAAUUAAUAUAUUGCUGCAAUUGCUAUAUUAUCAUAUAUGUUAUUAUAUAUAUUAGUUAUUGCUCUUUUCUGUGGGAAUAUGUAUUAUUUCAUCAGCUACAUUAUACAUUAGUAGUUUUCAAGCUAUAGUAAAAUCUGAGUUACACAGACCUUUGGGAAGUACCUUAUUCUAGAUACUUGAAUUUCUGGAUAGCUAAGAUUUAAUUUUUUUAUGGGCCAAAUUUAUUUCUAAACGUAUCUUUUUAAAUUCAAACAAACUAAAAGAAUGAACUUUAUUAAAAAUUUCAGCCAUUUCCAAAUUCUCUUCCAAACUUGUUAAUGAACAUAUCUGACAGAUUUUAAUCAGACAGCACAAAUUGUUCUGUGUUCUGCUUUAAAAUCUUCCUUCAUUUGUGCACUUCCACAUACAGACACAGCCAAUAGAAGUGCCAUUUUUCAUGACUGUUUGCUUCCCCGACUCCCAUAGUCAGAGGAGAGCAGCAGAGGAGAAAGGGCAGGAAGCAGACGGGCUCUGAGCCCUGCCCGGGAGCCCUGCUGGGAUCCUGAUCCCUCCGUGGGAGGGUCACACAGUCUCCUGGGCCAUCACUUUUUUCCACGGCAGCUGCUGGUGCCAGUUUUCAAACUGCUGCCAUCAGAGGGCAGUCUGGUCCUGUCCACCAGCACAGGUCCAGCGGUGGGGCUUCCGGGAACCCCAGUGCAGGAAACAACAGCAGGGUCAAGGGCAGGCACCAAGGGAGGCGGCCUUGGGUUUAUGACCAGCAUCUGUAACAGUUACAGUUCCCGGCCACCUCCACCCGGCUCCCACUGGUCACAAUAUGGUAAAUGACACAGGGGGUUGCUGGGGUUCCGAUGAACAUCACCCUGUCACUCCAGGAGCUUCUAGGUCAGAGAGCUCGUCCUUCCCACCACUGCACACAUCUGGAUGCAUCAGCAAGCUUGUGUGUGCACUGACCCUGUCGUUCCAGGAGCUUCUGGUCAGAGAGCUCCUUUCCCGUCACUGCACACAUCUGGACGCAUCAGCAAGCACGUGUGCGCACAGGCACUGUCGCUCCAAGAGCUUCUGGGUCAGAGAGCUCGUCCUUUCCCCACCACUGCACACAUCUGGAUGCAUCAGCAAGCUCGUGUGUGCACAGGCACUGGCGCUCCAAGAGCUUCUGGACAGAGAGCUCCUUUCCUACCACUAUACACAUCUGGACGCAUCAGCGAGCUCAUGUGUUCACAGGCACUGUCACUCCAGGAGCUUCUGGGUCAGAGAGCUCAUCCUUUCCUACCACUGCACACAUCUGGAUGUAUCAGCAAGCUCGUGUGUGCAGAGGCCCUGUUGUUCCAGAAGCUUCUGGGUCAGAGAGCUCGUCCUUUCCCCACCACUGCACACAUCUGGAUGCAUCAGCAAGCUCGUGUGUGUACAGGCACUGUAAUUGUUUUGUGGAUAUGAACCCUCACACAAGAAUUAACUUAUUUACAACAAUAUUUUAACAUUUCCAAAAAGCUGAACAUUUUGAAGUUCUCUAUUUCUGUUAUUUCUAAUUUUAUUGCAUUACGUCCGGAAAUGUAAUGUGUACUAAGUGUAGUUUUUGUUUGCAAAUUAUGGUCAAAAGUAUUUCUACUUCUUUGCAAGUCUGUUGACACACUUUUUUUUAACUUUGUUACCACAUUCUUUUGAGCAUAUUCAUACAGAUCUGUUAUGUGUUCAUAGUUUCUGGCGCUUAAAAAAUUCUCACCUUUCAUUCUCCCUUCAACUUUUCCUUCUAUGCCCUUUGCUCUAGAUUCGAUGAUCUGAUAUCUAUUUGUGAGUUAAGAUUGCUUUCAGUUCUAGAUACCAGAACAUCUCACAUGUAAGUCUCAACAAGAAGGUAGGAGAGGAGGCUGAAGGAGCAGGCAGGGGCCAGGUUGUCUAAGCUCUUAUUCUCUCACAAUGAGAAGCAGUGGCAGAAUUUGAAUGGGGAGGUGGGUGGUGCAUAUCCUUGCUCUUCAUGCUUUCAAGAGGUCACUCUGCAUGCUGAGUGAAGAAUGGCUGGAGGAGGGCAAGAGAGGAAGCAGGGAGACAGUUAGGAGACUGUCCUUGGCAGGAGACCAGUAAGAGAGAAAGGCAGCUGAACCGGGUUCUAGAAAUGGAGACAGCGAGAAGCUGCAAUCAGGAUGCACGCUGCAGGCAGAGCCAACAGGACUUGCUGUGAGACUGCGUGUGGGGUGAGAAGGGAAGAGCCAAGGAUGACUCCUGGGUGCUCCCCUCAGGGAAGAGAACCCAGGCCUGGGGGUGACCAGCAGAUGGCAUUCAAAGCUGGGAGACUGGAUGGGAUCUCUCUGAGAAGAGGGGUCACAGAGCAAAGAGAAGGGGGUGAGGAUUACUAGAUCUGGUGGGGGAGGAGCAGGGGGAAGAAGAUAGCGUGAGGGGGAGGGGGCUGGGAAAUCCAGAGGAAAGUGUUUCAGGAAGGAGGAAGUGCUCAGUUGUAUCAUCUGUGUUGAAUGCAGCUGAAAGAGUGAGAUAAGAAUAAGAACUUAACCUUGAAUUGAGCAAAACGGAAAUCAUUGGAGACCUGGCUACAAGCCACUUCAGCGAAGUGCAGUGGAGGAAGCAGGAAUGGAAUCGGUUCAGGAGAGAACGUGAGGAGAGGCCGCUUGAACGGAGCAGAGAAGCCGAUGGUAACUGGAGAGGAAUCUGGGGUCAGAGGAUGUCUGUCUGUUUAAUGCACAACCUUAGGGUGUCUUUGUAUGCAGAUGUUGGCAAAGAGUCAUCACAGACACAGGACUAAAGAACUCUGGAGGAAACCUGAAAGGGUUUCUCAGCCCAAUUUUGUGCAAAGUUACAACUUGAAUCUUUAAAAUAAAUGGGAUUUUUGCCAUCCUUUCAUAAUACAGGUACACCCCACAGAACACGUCCCCAGUUAAUGUUCUCCUGGAAGAAGACAUUAGUUUUUAAUACUUAAACUAAACAGCAGCUACUUGCUCAGUACGUCUUUCAGCUGAUAUUUAUAUAAACUUUACAUCAAGUCUUCAAAAAAUACAACAUUUUAAACUAAAUGGUUUGCAAGACAAGCUUCAUGUUGCUUCCAAAUACAAUUGGUAGGCCAUUGAUCAUGCUAGUCACUGCAAAGCUUUGGAAUAUCAGCAAGAUGUACAAUAUCUGAUGUUGCAGGUCUAGGAGAAGCCACUGCUGCUGCGAAAGCAACUGCAUGCUAACAAGCACAUAAAUGGAAGGUGACCAAGAAGGACUAUUUCAAGCAUUUUACAUCCUAACAUGGUAUCUAUAACUUAUAUCUAGAUGUCAUAUUGUGAUUUAGGAAAUUGGUAGGGUUUUUCCAGGACUUGCAAUGUCAUUAUUUUUGCUAUUUAAAAUAAGAGAAAACAGGUUCUCCUUAGCAUUUUUUCAGAGAAAGUGUGACAUUUCAGGCACAAAUUACUGACAGUUAUUAAUGGCAGAUGACUUCCAGUCUUGUUUUGGUUUUAAAAUUUUAAUUACUUACCUUGGAAACUACUUAACUUUGUUUCUUCCAAACGUUGUAGUAAAAUUGAUGCUCCAGAAAGUUGCACCACAGAUACUCUGCUGUUUUGCAUCCUCUCUGCACAGAACUGGGGUGGCCAAUACUCAUUUGACAAGCAGGUAGCAAUGCAGAACUUGGAAUUAUCAGAGAAACAAAAUGGGAAAAUGACUUAAGAGAAUCAUCAGUGUAACCCCCAAAAGCAACAAAUUAUUAAAAGUGGUUCCAAAGGGGUAUUUAAAAAGAGAUAUUAAAAGUGGUUCUAAAGGAGCCUAUUAUAGAGCAGAAAUGCUGAAGUUGUGUAUUACCUUUGUCGAUGCAAAUAAUCCAUAACCAACCUAUAAAUCAAAAUUGGGGGGAGUUUAUCAUGAGCCAGAGUGAGGAUUAUAACCCAGGAAGGCCUUAGAAGGUGUUCUGGAGAAGCGGUGGGUUUCAGUACAGUCUUACAUCUUUUUAGAACAAAAGAUAUAUUGAACACACCCGGGAUACAUUUCCAAAGAGGUAUUCAGUUGCAAAUUAGCAGGUCAACAUGACCAUGAUGCCAGGAAAGGGACUAAUAUGGGUGUUAUUAAUAGGGUGUCAACGAAAAUAACCCAUAAUCAAUCUAUAAAUGAAAAUUUGGGUGAGUCUAUUCCGAGCUAAAAUGUGAGGACCAUGGCCUGAGGCCUUUCUUCCCGAAGGAAGAAAGGGCACCAAAGAAGUGAGGUAUACAGAGCGGUUACAUACCCCCAAACAGGAUGUUUCACAUAUGAUUGAAAUGUCCCUUUUACAAUAGUCACAAGAUUGCCCUGUCGGCACAGCACUUGAUGGACACAGCAGGUAGUGGGUCUGCUAUCUUGGUGGGCGCAGCAGGAGGCAAGUCUAUUGUCUUGAGCUGGGAGGUCACAGGUGAGUGGAGCAAUCAGUUCCUAGCCUAAGAAAAGAUGCUUAAUCUUUAAGGAAAGCCAAAGUUGGGAGGGGGAGGGAAGUUGCACCUUUAUCUCAAGGGCCUUUGUUCUUGCCAUAGGGAAUGUCUAAAGCAGAUAUACAAUGCAUGCUCAACAGCCACCGUCAGACCCUUUUGGAAAAAGAAGGUCAGGCCAAAGUAGGUUUACACCAAAUGGCUUCCUCAUAUCCUCCAAUAUAUCCUAUUGCUUGGCAUUUCUCUUUGUCAAGGAUAUUACCAAUAGGGUGUAGGAGGGGAAGUAUGUAUUCUUUAUUUUAAUGAAUAAGCCAAUGUACAGUGCAUGUUUGACAGGCCAUCAGUCAGGCUUUCUAGUCCAAGCUGAAUCAGUUUUGAACUGGAAUAGUUACCCCAUAUACCUCAAUAUGUGAAAGUUUCUUCACCCUCCUACACAAACUUCCCUACCAUUUUGGGGGGACCACCGGGCACUUCUGGUCCUGUUGCUUGUGUUAAUUACACGAAGAGGCCCACUGUGGGAUAAGGAAACGGUGAACCAGCCUGUGUGGGGCAUCAGAGAAGGGGUGUGUGUGUGGCCCCCAAAACAGCUUAGGCGGUGACUCACCUGUGCGCCUGUUUCCUGUCUGUCUAACGCAGGAAUGGGGGCUGCCCACUGUGACGUUUCCUCCUUUUAUAACAUGGCUGGGGCAGUCCUUCCAAGAGGUCUGACCAAGGAGUGGACCGUUCAGCCAGCCGGAGUCCAAAGCCAGCUCUGGAGCGAGCCUGACCACCCGGUCCAGAGGGAGGAUCCUUGCAGCUAGAGGGAUGGAGGGGAUGGCGGGAAAGACGGCAGUGAAAAGGCAACUUCCAGGUUCCCAGUACCGGCAUUUCCAUUCUAGCAGUGAAUUCAUGGUUUCAUACACAGACCAGGGAGCUUCCAUUUGGUCUCCAGGCAGUCUCAGCACACACCGGCUUGGUCAGCCCACCCCAACCUAGGCGCCUGCCUCCGUGCGCGACGCCUGCCCCACUGCGCACAUCCACGGGCCAGGGCGUGGAGCGGGCGUGGCGUGCUGGAGGGGAGGGCGUCGUGCAGCAGGAGGCAGGCAUGGUGAGG
rnacentral:lncRNA from 1 species